GAUGGGGGUGGUGAUGCGGGCGAUCUUGGCCGCCUGGGGGAAGGCGCCGCCGUUGGUCUUGUAGAAGGUGGCGAAGGAGCGGUACCUCUCCAUCUCCGAGUUGUAAUCCACAAGGCUGUUGAGGGCCCCCUCGGGCAGAUGCUCUACCUGAAUAGUUCAGAUAUUUCUAGCAUCUUUUCUGAUGUAGGGCUAUCGAUCAGAAACGCUCUCUCAGGAGGCAGUCGUGGGGCUACGUCUAGUUUCCAGACUCUGCCCAACCUACCGAGUGCAAAAACUUCGUCUUCUCCCAACGUCGUGCACUAAAAAGCGGGCUUUAUGUAAACAAAUCCAGAUGAAGGGAGCGUAAAUCUACAGAAGGAACCUCACCCCCGGCUGCACUGGGGACCGGCGGGCGUCUUUCCGUCGGAGAAAAAAAAAAAACAACAACAACAAAAAAAACCCACAACGACCCCGAACCCGCAGGAGCCACCUCUGUGUUUCCACGUCAGGGAAAAACCCAGACUCUCGCUGCCUUCAGAGGUCUAGUGGCAAUACAAAGGCUGCCCGGAAAGCUCUAGUCUAAGCAUCGUCUCGUGGAGGGAUGCAAAGGAUUUGCAUAUAGCAAAAGAAAAAAAAAA